CCGGGAGGUGAAGUUUACAACUGCCACUUCCGGAGCUGAAAACACUGGCUGCUCUCGCAGACCUUCUCAGACUUUCACAGGGUGGUGCUCUGUUGCCCAGGCUGGAGUAUAGUGGCACAAUCAGGCCUCACUGCAGCCUCAACCUCCAGGGCUCAAGCCGUCUUCCUGCCUCAGCCUCCUGAGUAGCUGGAGCUACUUAAAAUUUUAUUUGUGUUUUAACAAAAUCACAAAAGUGAAUAUUGUAUGGCAAGAAUAAAUGCUGUGUACUAUAUUGCAUGUUUUUGAAAUGAAAAAUGGAUGUGAUAUAAAGACUUGCACUUUAUUUGUUCAUUCAGCAUUUAUAUAAUACAGACUAUGUACCCAACAUGGAGCUAGGUGAUAGAAAUUACAGGGGAAUGAUGAUAUCAACCCUGAACACCCAGAAAGGAUUCAUAGAAAAGAACUUUGAGUUUAGUCAGAGAAGAUAAAGAUUUAUUAAGAUAUCAAGAAACUAGAUGGAAGACGUGGAAGCUGCAAACGCCAGCACAAGAACCAGCAUGAGACAUUUGAAAAGCUAGAAAAAGCUGUGUGUUCAAAGGAGGUGUGAGCGAUGAGGCUAGAGAAAUAUGCAGAACCCAGAUCACAGAGGAAUUUCUACAUCAUACUUUGGAGUUUAUCCAGCAAUGAAGCUAAUGAAGGGUUUUAAGCUGAAAAAAAUAUAAUAAUUACACAAUAAAUCAGAUCAUUAGAAAAUGU